GACGAACGCUGGCGGCGUGCCUAAUACAUGCAAGUAGAACGCACAGUUUAUACCGUAGCUUGCUACACCAUAGACUGUGAGUUGCGAACGGGUGAGUAACGCGUAGGUAACCUGCCUGGUAGCGGGGGAUAACUAUUGGAAACGAUAGCUAAUACCGCAUAAUAUUAAUUAUUGCAUGAUAAUUAAUUGAAAGGUGCAAUUGCACCACUACCAGAUGGACCUGCGUUGUAUUAGCUAGUAGGUGAGGUAACGGCUCACCUAGGCGACGAUACAUAGCCGACCUGAGAGGGUGAUCGGCCACACUGGGACUGAGACACGGCCCAGACUCCUACGGGAGGCAGCAGUAGGGAAUCUUCGGCAAUGGACGAAAGUCUGACCGAGCAACGCCGCGUGAGUGAAGAAGGUUUCGGAUCGUAAAGCUCUGUUGUAAGAGAAGAACGGGUGUGAGAGUGGAAAGUUCACACUGUGACGGUAUCUUACCAGAAAGAGACGGCUAACUACGUG
rnacentral:rRNA from 1 species